CGAUGCGACACGGUGACGUGGGGCGGAUCGCUGAAAACCGGUCUCAGUUCGGAUCGCAGUCUGCAACUCGACUGCGUGAAGGCGGAGUCGCUAGUAAUCGCGGAUCAGCAACGCCGCGGUGAAUGCGUUCCCGGGCCUUGUACACACCGCCCGUCAAGUCAUGAAAGUGGGUAGCACCCGAAGCCGGUGGCCCGACCCUCGUGGGGGGAGCCGUCUAAGGUGAGACUCGUGAUUGGGACUAAGUCGUAACAAGGUAGC
rnacentral:rRNA from 1 species